rnacentral:rRNA from 1 species
AGUGAACGCUGGCGGUAGGCCUAACACAUGCAAGUCGAACGGCAGCACAGUAAGAGCUUGCUCUUACGGGUGGCGAGUGGCGGACGGGUGAGGAAUACAUCGGAAUCUACUUUUUCGUGGGGGAUAACGUAGGGAAACUUACGCUAAUACCGCAUACGACCUACGGGUGAAAGCAGGGGAUCUUCGGACCUUGCGCGAUUGAAUGGGCCGAUGUCGGAUUAGCUAGUUGGCGGGGUAAAGGCCCACCAAGGCGACGAUCCGUAGCUGGUCUGAGAGGAUGAUAAGCCACACUGGAACUGAGACACGGUCCAGACUCCUACGGGAGGCAGCAGUGGGGAAUAUUGGACAAUGGGCGCAAGCCUGAUCCAGCCAUACCGCGUGGGUGAAGAAGGCCUGCGGGUUGUAAAGCCCUUUUGUUGGGAAAGAAAAGCAGCAGGUUAAGACCCCGCUGUUCUGACGGGACCCAAAGAAGAAGCACCGGCGAACUUCGU